CUUAACACAUGCAAGUCGAACGAGCUGGGGCCUUCGGGUCCCGAUGCUAGUGGCGCACGGGUGAGUAACACGUGGGAAUAUGCCCUUUAGUACGGAAUAACCAAGGGAAACUUUGGCUAAUACCGUAUACGCCCUUCGGGGGAAAGAUUUAUCGCUAAAGGAUUAGCCCGCGUCUGAUUAGGUAGUUGGUGAGGUAAUGGCUCACCAAGCCGACGAUCAGUAGCUGGUCUGAGAGGAUGAUCAGCCACACUGGGACUGAGACACGGCCCAGACUCC
rnacentral:rRNA from 2 species